CCUACGGGAGGCAGCAGUGAGGAAUAUUUGUCAAUGGACGAGAGUCUGAACCAGCCAAGUAGCGUGAAGGAUGACUGCCCUAUGGGUUGUAAACUUCUUUUAUAUGGGAAUAAAAUGUUCCACGUGUGGGAUUUUGUAUGUACCAUAUGAAUAAGGAUAGGCUAACUCCGUGCCAGCCGCCGCGGUAAUACGGAGGAUCCGAGCGUUAUCCGGAUUUAUUGGGUUUAAAGGGAGCGUAGGUGGAUUGUUAAGUCAGUUGUGAAAGUUUGCGGCUCAACCGUAAAAUUGCAGUUGAAACUGGCAGUCUUGAGUACAGGAGAGGUGGGCGGAAUUCGAGGUGUAGCGGUGAAAUGCUUAGAUAUCACGAAGAACUCCGAUUGCGAAGGCAGUUCACUGGACUGCAACUGACACUGAGGCUCGAAAGUGUGGGUAUCAAACAGGAUUAGAUACCCGGGUAGUC
rnacentral:rRNA from 1 species